GUGCGUCUCACGCGACCGCUUCUCUUUCCUCCACUACUGUCCUGAGGUCAGUGAGAACAGCACAAACGCUGAAAACCCGUCCUAAAGGGGUGGUGCUCUGUACACACUCAAGUACAACUUGGGAGGGAAGUCUGGCUAAUUCGCUGAAGCUGUUGACGCUUUUAAACGGACUCCAUCGAGUGAACACAGGUGUCCGCAGGGGUCAAGGGUGACGACCCCUCCUCUGUUUUCAAUCCUGCAAUGUUCCGCUUCAAUGCCCGGACCCUCAAUAGUGAUGUCCUGAGGUACAGGGGCGUCAUCGCGACCUAUGCGUGUCACUCCUAGACAAUAAAGACACUCGUUUUGUAAGUAUGAGAUUUGUGAGUUUAAUUUAAGAAAGACCUACCACUUCAGUGUGAGUAAAUUGAGAAUUGAAGCUCUGGUCUGACUCGGGUUCGAGGAUACUUGCAGGACAGUUUGCCUCUGUGUCCUGUACCACACAAGGAGAACAAAGGGCUGAUAUGUUUAAAUGUGGAGUAGCAAUAUGUUCAUGAUUCUCUUUUGUCAUACAAAAAACAACCAUUGCAGCAAUGCUUGGCAGCCUUAGACUUCUGUUUCAUGGAGAAAAGCAGGAUGAACAUUCUUCACUAUUCAUUUUCCCCCAUGGAAUAUGAGUUGGAGAGGUAUAAAGGUAGACAGGCGUGUUCCUGCAGGAAUGUCCCAGUAUUUUGCUUUGGAGAAUGGCUUAGGUAUGUCACCCCAGGAUCAAAAUACCAGCUACAUUCCUCUCUAGCACCUCUCCGUCCAAUCAGCUCGUAGGAUUACAGAUGUGGGCGACUGUGGGGCGAUAAGGGCAGGUUUGCUAUUUACACGCUGGAAGAUCUUUGUUCGCUGACCCUGACUAUGGCUUUAAUCAUCAAGACCUCUUGAUCCAGUCUUGAUCAACAUUAUUUAUUUUUCUGACUGCAUCAUUCCUCACCCACAUCCUUAACCUGGCUGCAAUGCAUGUGGGAAGAACCUGACAUUUGCUCAGUCACCUGCUCUGUAAUGAGUUAUCUCUCAUUACUAAUCUUCAAAUGACACAUAAUUGUCCCUUUUCUUCACCCUGGAGACCUGGAGAACCCAGCAGAACCCUCAGCAAACAGAAGAUAUAUGAGUGUUAAGCGAGUUAGAGAAAACAUUGGAAGAUGUCCACAAGCAGUCCUUUCCCACAAGGCCACAGCAAGACCAGAAACAACGACUGGAAUGUGGACAUGGUCACUGGAAAUGGAGGUGUGGCGGAACCUCUUGCUCUCUGCUUGAUGUGAAGAUGGUCACGUUGUUUCUGUGAGGACUGGUAGUUCCUCAGACCCUGUACCAGGCCCCUGGCGAUGGUUUUGACACGUGGGGUUAGAAUAGCCUGCGACACAUGAAAGCUGCCGUAUUUGGCUCUUUCACCCAGCGUGGUCUCCAGGAACUGGAUGAGUUUGGUGGUGUCUGUAGUAUUGGCCCACGGUGCAGGAAUUUUACUACCAGGCCACAUCACAGGACAGCCCUCAGCAGACGGAUGAUGAUAAUUCAGAGUGAUCUCCUCCACCACAUCGAUCCUGCAGAGCUUGUGACCGAACACGUCCUGCAACAUCUUGAUUAGGCCGUGUAUGAAGUAUAUCUCGUGGCCUGCUUCUCCUGGUUUAGAGGACACCCGCAGGUCGAAAUAGCGAAUGCCUCCCUCAAGCUGUUCCCUGAAGGUCAGGUUCUGGGUCAUGGACCACUUCUUCAUCACCUUCUUGGCCAGAAAACGGAAUAUCGCAGCCAGGUGUUUGACAUACGCUUUCUGGUCUGGACCAACUGGAGCUUGUUCGUCCACCCAAAAACUAAAGGAAUCAUGAGAGCCUGAAAUGUAAAACAGAUAAAA
rnacentral:lncRNA from 1 species